rnacentral:rRNA from 1 species
GAUGAACGCUGGCGGCGUGCCUAAUACAUGCAAGUCGAGCGAACGGACGAGAAGCUUGCUUCUCUGAUGUUAGCGGCGGACGGGUGAGUAACACGUGGAUAACCUACCUAUAAGACUGGGAUAACUUCGGGAAACCGGAGCUAAUACCGGAUAAUAUUUUGAACCGCAUGGUUCAAAAGUGAAAGACGGUCUUGCUGUCACUUAUAGAUGGAUCCGCGCUGCAUUAGCUAGUUGGUAAGGUAACGGCUUACCAAGGCAACGAUGCAUAGCCGACCUGAGAGGGUGAUCGGCCACACUGGAACUGAGACACGGUCCAGACUCCUACGGGAGGCAGCAGUAGGGAAUCUUCCGCAAUGGGCGAAAGCCUGACGGAGCAACGCCGCGUGAGUGAUGAAGGUCUUCGGAUCGUAAAACUCUGUUAUUAGGGAAGAACAUAUGUGUAAGUAACUGUGCACAUCUUGACGGUACCUAAUCAGAAAGCCACGGCUAACUACGUGCCAGCAGCCGCGGUAAUACGUAGGUGGCAAGCGUUAUCCGGAAUUAUUGGGCGUAAAGCGCGCGUAGGCGGUUUUUUAAGUCUGAUGUGAAAGCCCACGGCUCAACCGUGGAGGGUCAUUGGAAACUGGAAAGCUUGAGUGCAGAAGAGGAAAGUGGAAUUCCAUGUGUAGCGGUGAAAUGCGCAGAGAUAUGGAGGAACACCAGUGGCGAAGGCGACUUUCUGGUCUGUAACUGACGCUGAUGUGCGAAAGCGUGGGGAUCAAACAGGAUUAGAUACCCUGGUAGUCCACGCCGUAAACGAUGAGUGCUAAGUGUUAGGGGGUUUCCGCCCCUUAGUGCUGCAGCUAACGCAUUAAGCACUCCGCCUGGGGAGUACGACCGCAAGGUUGAAACUCAAAGGAAUUGACGGGGACCCGCACAAGCGGUGGAGCAUGUGGUUUAAUUCGAAGCAACGCGAAGAACCUUACCAAAUCUUGACAUCCUUUGACAACUCUAGAGAUAGAGCCUUCCCCUUCGGGGGACAAAGUGACAGGUGGUGCAUGGUUGUCGUCAGCUCGUGUCGUGAGAUGUUGGGUUAAGUCCCGCAACGAGCGCAACCCUUAAGCUUAGUUGCCAUCAUUAAGUUGGGCACUCUAAGUUGACUGCCGGUGACAAACCGGAGGAAGGUGGGGAUGACGUCAAAUCAUCAUGCCCCUUAUGAUUUGGGCUACACACGUGCUACAAUGGACAAUACAAAGGGCAGCGAAACCGCGAGGUCAAGCAAAUCCCAUAAAGUUGAUCUCAGUUCGGAUUGUAGUCUGCAACUCGACUACAUGAAGCUGGAAUCGCUAGUAAUCGUAGAUCAGCAUGCUACGGUGAAUACGUUCCCGGGUCU